AAGCACAAUUCAUUGUCCUGCUCUUCACUUUAUAAAGUGCAGCGAUAUUUCUAUUGUGCUAGAAAAAAGCUGGAGGUAAAUUAGCAAAGUGGCUACACGUGCCAUAUUUGCCAGUCCCCUUCACACAGUC